GACGAACGCUGGCGGCGUGCUUAACACAUGCAAGUCGAGCGGUAAGGCCCUUUUGGGGGUACACGAGCGGCGAACGGGUGAGUAACACGUGGGUGACCUGCCCUCAGCUCUGGGAUAAGCCUGGGAAACUGGGUCUAAUACUGGAUAUGACCUUUCCUCGCAUGGGGUUGGGUGGAAAGUUUUUCGGCUGGGGAUGGGCCCGCGGCCUAUCAGCUUGUUGGUGGGGUGAUGGCCUACCAAGGCGACGACGGGUAGCCGGCCUGAGAGGGCGACCGGCCACACUGGGACUGAGACACGGCCCAGACUCCUACGGGAGGCAGCAGUGGGGAAUAUUGCGCGAUGGGCGGAAGCCUGACGCAGCGACGCCGCGU
rnacentral:rRNA from 1 species